GUCUCCUCGUCUUUGCCGUGAUGGUGGUCUGACAUGAACAGCUGUGCUCCCAAAUCCCUUGGCAGCUGUGGGAUACAGCAGCAGCCCGGGCUGCACCAUCCAGACCGAGGGAAGACACCACCACCAGGGCUCACCCAGGCCUCCCUGUGCUGGAAGCUUCCAGAUCUGAAGAUUGACAUUCCCUCCUUCACAUGUCCCAAACCGAAUAUUAUUCCACACAUGAAGUCUUGUAACAUCUUGCAAUAAGAGACUUGAAGCCAAUUCGCACAUUGCUCCAUGUGCAGGGUUUCAUUUUGCCACUGAACUGUGGAAAGAACAUUGCUGGAACUGUAAGCUCUGUUUGGAUCGGGAUGGCACUUAGAAAUACAUCUCACUGCUUGCAAUUUAGUCAAGAAUUGUGGAGCUGUAUAGCUUGUCAAUAGUAUUCUGCUAUUCUGGUGGCCUUUUUAUUCCUUCUUGGCUUUGGAUUUUUUUUUCCUAACACAAAUAGCUUUAUGUGGACUGGUUUACCAGUAAGAGGCAGUUACAUCAGACAUGUUUCAUAUGUCACAUUAUUGUCUGCUGUUGGAAAUGAUCCACUUCUGACUUCUUGGGUGAAAUGAAUAGCAUUGUUGAAAAAUGUAAACUGCCUCUGGCUUCGUUAUAAUAGGCUUGUAUGACCAUGAUCAUAACGACACCUACAGUUUAUUAUUAAUCUCCAGCAAUUUAAACAAGGAAUUCUGAGGCUUGGUAAAUUGGAAAAUUGAAAUGUGCCUUUCUUGGUCCUUCUAGAUGUAACCAGUUUGUCUUCACACAUCUACCACUUCUUAAGAGUGGCUUAUUAAUUAUAUGGAGUUUGAAAGUGUUGUAUAAUAAGAGUUAUAUAAUUCCUUCCUAAUUCAACAUUUCACAGUGUGGUAGUAAUAUACAGACUAUUGACAGAAAUCUUAUAGUAAAUUAAUGGUAUAAUUAUUCCUUAAUGUGUAUGUUUUCAGGAGUUAAAAAGAACAAGUAAGUCUGUCAGCUUCACACUUGAAAUAGGGACAUGGUGCAUAUGAUUAACUGAUAUGGCUAACACAAUUUUUAUUACUGUGCUUUGAUUUUUAUUACAUUUUGUGAGUCAGGGUCCAUUAGCUUCAAUAAAAACUUGGAUUAGAAACA
rnacentral:lncRNA from 1 species